GAAAUGCCUCCAUGAGAUCCAACUUUAAGGCAUUUUCUCAAUUAGUGAUCAAUGGGGGGAGGGCCAAGCCCAUGGUGGGUGUGGCCAUCCCUGGGCUGGUGGUCCUG
rnacentral:miRNA from 1 species